UACGUAGGUGGCAAGCGUUGUCCGGAAUUAUUGGGCGUAAAGCGCGCGCAGGUGGUUCCUUAAGUCUGAUGUGAAAGCCCACGGCUCAACCGUGGAGGGUCAUUGGAAACUGGGGAACUUGAGUGCAGAAGAGGAAAGUGGAAUUCCAAGUGUAGCGGUGAAAUGCGUAGAGAUUUGGAGGAACACCAGUGGCGAAGGCGACUUUCUGGUCUGUAACUGACAAUGAGGCGCGAAAGCGUGGGGAGCAAACAGG
rnacentral:rRNA from 1 species